UAAGGAAUAUUGGUCAAUGGACGAAAGUCUGAACCAGCCAUGCCGCGUGAAGGAUGAAGGUCCUCUGGAUUGUAAACUUCUUUUAUCUGGGACGAAAAAAGGGCUUUCUAGCUCACUUGACGGUACCAGAGGAAUAAGCACCGGCUAACUCCGUGCCAGCAGCCGCGGUAAUACGGAGGGUGCAAGCGUUAUCCGGAUUUACUGGGUUUAAAGGGAGCGUAGGUGGGCAGGUAAGUCAGUGGUGAAAUCU
rnacentral:rRNA from 1 species